CAGAUAUUAGUUUAUAUAAAAUAUUAAUUUUGGAGAUUAAUGAAAUAAGUUUUAUAUAUCUGA
rnacentral:tRNA from 1 species